CAAGGUUGCAACGAGGUCAUAUAAAUAGUAACUAUGCAACAGGGUCAAAGACCUGAAAUGCAACCGUCUGAACUUUGGUUCAAAGACUUUGCAGCACUUUUGUGAGAAUGAGUUUCAUAUUGAUAUCAAAGAUUAACAGGACAGCAUGACUGAGUUAUAGCAGAACAGCAACCGGCUUCAGCUUCACAUAGUAGUUCUGUUUAAUAAUUCAACAAAAUAUCACAGUGUUUCUGUUUAUGGGCUUUAACGCAAUCAGCGUUCAGAAAAAGAAGGCGGAGUAAUGAAACAUUGGACAGUCUCCUCCCCAUUCACUUUGGAAAGUCUCAUUUUUAGCCUUCUGCCUGCAUAGCACACAGAUACUCUCUCCUUUCUUCUGCCAGAGCUGGAGCAUCAAAAAAUAUGUUUGAUGCCAGGAUCUUACUGUUGCUGCUCCUGUCUGUUCAGAUGAUGGAACAAGGAGAUGGGGCCCAUGCUCAGCCUAAUGAGGAGCAACCACUCUUGGCUGAAGGUGGUAACUGGGGAGAUAUGGACAACGUCUUUGAAAAUGGUGUGGAACAUGUUAUAAUAUUUUUACCACGUGAAGUUGCGAGACUUUGGGAGCCAGAGCAGCUUAACAACAACAAUGAUCACAUCAAUCAGAAUAAUUUCUUCAACAUUCGUUUUGAAAUUGAUGACAGCAACUCUGAUGAUGGACAUGAUGACAAUAAUGCUGAUGAUGAAAAUGACCACAAUUAUUGCAAUUAUAAUAAUGAUGAUCAAAAUGCUGACAGCAGCAACGAUGAAGAGGAACGCAAUGAAGCUCAUCAAGAUGAAAGUGACCUUGCUGCUGCUGAGGUUGACUAUGAAGCCAACCCGGAUGAAGGAGAAGCAGCGGAGGAUCUGCUUCCUGGAGGAUUUAGGAGACAGUUUAGAGAGGAAGACAGUGAUGAUGAGAAAAGUAAUGCAAGCAAACAGUUCCACUGGUGGGAUGAAUUUGCUGACAGCGACUCUGAAGAACAAGACUCCCUACUUGAAGGCAAUAAAGAAAGCGAUGAGGGUGAUGAAGAUGAGAGGUGAAUCCAAAAGUGACAUGCCAACCGUCACUCAGAGUGACUGAAUGGAACCUCUUUAAUAAAAAUGCAUCUUCU
ensembl:lncRNA